rnacentral:rRNA from 1 species
CCCGUCACAUCACGAAAGUGAAUUGUACUAGAAGUCUGCAGGCUAACCCGCAAGGGAGGCAGCGGCCCAAGGUAUGAUCCAUGAUUGGGGUG